GACGAACGCUGGCGGCGUGCUUAACACAUGCAAGUCGAACGGUGAAGCGCCUUCCUUUUUGGUGGGUGUGGAUGCGUGGCGAACAGGUGAGUAAAACGUCCGUAACCUGCCCCCUUAUGCUGGAUAACCGCUUGAAAGAGUGGAUACUACGGGAUAUUCUGGGCCUGUCGCAUGCUGGGUCUGGGAAGGCUGUUGUGUCGGUGGGGGAUGGGCUCGCGGCCGAUCAGCUUGUUGGUGGGGUGAAGGCUUACCAAGACGGUGAGGGGUAGCCGGCGGGCGAGGAUGAUCAGCGGCACUGGGGGGGAGACGCCGCCGACACUACUACGGGGGGAAGCAGCGGGGAAGAUUAGAGAACAAUGGGAGCAAUCAUGAAGCAGCGCCGCCGCGUGGGUGAUGGAGGCCGGCUGGUAGUGAACUUCUUUCGCGAGUGAAGCAGGUCUGCCUAGUAUGUGGGUGUGUUGACGGUAGCUGGAGAAGAAGCGCCGGCUAACUACGUG
rnacentral:rRNA from 1 species